rnacentral:rRNA from 1 species
GAUGAACGCUGGCGGCGUGCCUAACACAUGCAAGUCGAACGAAGCGCUUUGAAGUUUUCGGACAGAUGAGUGACUGAGUGGCGGACGGGUGAGUAACGCGUGGGUAACCUGCCUCAUACAGGGGGAUAACAGUUAGAAAUGACUGCUAAUACCGCAUAAGCGCACAGUACCGCAUGGUACAGUGUGAAAAACUCCGGUGGUAUGAGAUGGACCUGCGUCUGAUUAGCUAGUUGGUGAGGUAACGGCCCACCAAGGCGACGAUCAGUAGCCGACCUGAGAGGGUGACGGCCACAUUGGGACUGAGACACGGCCCAAAACUCCUACGGGAGCAGCAGUGGGAAUAUUGGCACAAUGGGGGAAACCCUGAUGCAGCGACGCGCGUGAGUGAAGAAGUAUUCGGUAUGUAAAAGCUACUAUCAAGCAAGGG